AUGCGAGCAUGAGUCGCUGGUGUAAAGAAACUACUACUUUAGCUAGUGCUUUUUACUUGCUCGCAGAAAAACGUGCUUUGCCCAAGCAUAACCCAAAUUUAAAAAACCCGAGUUUGCGGUGCAUAUUAUUUUCGUGAAGCUGACAGUU
ensembl:snoRNA snoRNA:Or-aca5 snoRNA:Or-aca5